rfam:Capsicum annuum cultivar Zunla-1 chromosome 5, whole genome shotgun sequence
ACCUCAUGAUUUUGGCAUUGCAUUAACUUAUUUUUGAAUCAUUGCCAAGCCUCAUAUAAUGGUUCACCACUAAGAUGGUGAAAGUUAGUGAUUUUAUCCCUUAGUU